GCCUGGGUGGUUCAGUGGUUGAACGUCUGCCUUCAGCUCAGGGUGUGAUCCAGGGUCCCAGGAUCAAGUCCUGCAUCAGGCU
rnacentral:tRNA from 1 species